rnacentral:misc_RNA from 1 species
GUGAAUCAUCGAAUCUUUGAACGCAUAUUGCGCUUCCUGGUAUUCCGGGGAGCAUGCUCGUUUCAGAAUCAUUCAAAAACUCACAAGCUGUUUCUUGCCUGUCAUGGGUUUAAGUCGAGCACUUUGUGGAUUUGAGUGUUGUUUGUUCUGGUCUCUUUUGGCCGGAUCAAUCACUCUGAAACAAUUGUGCGUAGGACGCUGAUACGCAUGUCAUGUGCGUACUUUGGUCCAACUCUCAGUGCAACAGAAAAGUCUCACUGAGGUUUGAUGCCAAGGCGGGCCUACAAGCCCAGCACCGUU